GUAACCUUGCAACUAACGCAUGCUGGGUUGGGACCUACCUCACCAUUUUCAACCUCUUUUAAUGUGUAUUACUGAAAGCACUUGUGUCCAGCUUCGCCCCAAUUACCCAUCAGCACGCCAAUGGUAUAAAAUAUGAGAAUGCCUGCAGUUCUGAGAGACUGGGUUGAGAUGGUAUAUCUCCGGCCUCCCGCCAGCGAAUAAAUCCUCUUUUCCUUCCUAGCCUAGUUCGGUGACUGUGCUGUCUAUACCACCAAGACCACGAGGGAAGGAACCCUGGCGAGGACAACCCCAGCCCCUCUUUAAGACUUUGCCAUUUGGCUGCAGCCUUUUACAGAGCCGAGCCCAAGGGCCUGCGUUCCUGCUCAGAGUGUGGGAACGCUCCGCGCCACGGAAGAAGCUCGAGGGCGGACCCACCACCUUCCCAGCAGCCCACGCUGCCGCCGCUUCUCGAGGCCCGCGCGGCCGGAAAAGCCCCUUCCGCCCCCGCCCCCCCGUGCCGUAGGCGGGGCGUGUGCGUCGGCUUGGCAGGCGCGCGUCCGGCUGUCUCCUUCCGCCCGCCCGUCACGGCGCGCUCGGCUGUCGGGUUCUGCGGCAAUCUUCAGCAGGCUCAGGCGGGGGCCCUGGGCCCCCGCGAGAAAGGUUGUUUCCGCUUCGGUUUCCAGACAAAAGAUAAAAAAAGGAAAAGAAGGAAAAAAAGGAGGAAGCAACCACAUGCUGUCACCUUUCCAACAUUGUGCUCAUGUUUCAAGAAUUAUUUUGUGGUAUUUUUGGUAGUUAGUUUGCAUCUUUACUAGUUUGUCAAGAUCACUAUCACAGCAUCUACUAUGUUAGGCAGAAAAUUAUGUGUAUAAUUUGCUGGAUAUAUCAAAUGUAAAUAUAUUUUAAAUUUUAGGUUUAGAUUAUUAUCUCUUUAAAUAUUUUAUCAAGAUUAGUGGAGCAGUCCCACAUAUGCAAAACAUCUGAAAAUAUUCAUUGGACUUUUUUCUACCUCUGUACUCCUAGAAAGAUCAAAUUAAGUAGAUGCUCUUACUUUCUAAUUUUAUUUUUUUAAAAUAUGUAUUAGUGUAGUUUCAUAUACUGUUCUUGGUAUAAUUUGGUAUACUUUUUAAAACACACAAUGUUUAAUCUCUUUAGAAAAGGAGACUGUCAAAAAUAAAAAUCCCCUUUAACUCUCAAAAUAAAUAUAAUCAGAUUUACAAAAGUUGAUUAUCAUCAUGUCUUCUAUCUUAUGUGGAAUACUUACCUGCUCUGCCAAAUCA
rnacentral:lncRNA from 1 species